ACGAACGCCUGGCGGUGUGCUUAAUACAUGCAAGUCGAACGAUGAGGCCCUUCGGGGUACAUCAGUGGCGGACGGCUGAGUAACGCGUAGAUAAACGUGCCCUGGACUGGGGGAUAACACCGGGAAACCGGUGCUAAUACCGCCAUAAGUUGCGAGUUGAAAUACUUGUAAUUAAAGAAUUUCGGUUCAGGAUCGGUCUGCGUCUGAUUAGCUAGUUGGUAGGGUAAAGGCCUACCAAGGCAAUGAUCAGUAGUUGGUCUGAGAGGAUGACCAGCCAGAGUUGGGACUGAGACACGGCCCACACUUCUACGGAAGGCAGCAGUAGGGAAUUUUGCGCAAUGGGCGAAAAGCCUGACGCAGCAACCACCGCGUGCGGGAUGACGGUCUUCGGAUUGUAAAACCCGCUGUCAGCAGGGAAUAUAAUGACUGUACCUGCAAAGGAAGCAUCGGCUAACUACGUGCCAGCAGCCGCGGGUAAUACGUAGGAUGCAAGCGUUGUCCGGAAUUAUUGGGCGUAAAAGAGUUCGUAGGGCGGUUGCCCAAGUCUGUUGUUAAAGGCCUGAGCUCAACUCGGGUAUGGCAAUGGAUACUGGGCGGCUAGAGUAUGGUAGAGGUCACGGGGAAUUCCAGGUGUAGCGGUGAAAAUGCGUAGAUAUCUGGAGGAACACCCAGUGGCGAAAGCGCGUGACUUGGGCCAUAAACUGACGCUGAGGAACGAAAAGCCAGGGUAGCGAAAGGGAUUAGAUUACCCCUGUAGUCCUGGCCGUAAACGAUGGAUACUAGGUGUAGGAGGAUUCGACCCCCUUCUGUUGCCGUAGCUAAACGCGAUAAGUAUCCCCGCCUGGGGAGUACGACCGCAAGGUUGAAACUCAAAGGAAUUGAACGGGGGGCCCGCACAAGCGGUGGAACAUUGUUGGUUUAAUUCGAUGCAAACGCGAAGAAACCUUACCUGGGCUUGACAUCUACGGAACCUUCUGGAAAACAGGAGGGUGCCUUCGGGAGCCGUAAGACAGGUGGUGCACGGUUUGUCGUCAGCCUCGUGUCGUGAGAUGGUUGGGUUUAAGUCCCGCAACGGAGCGCAAACCCUCGUGGUCUGUUGUUACAGGUCGUAAGAUGCUGAACCCUCAGGCCAGACUGCCGGUGACAAACCGGAGGAAGGUGGGGAUGACGUCAAAUCAUCACGCCCCUUAUGUUCCAGGGCUACAACACGUGUUACAAUGGGUAGGAGACAAUGGGUCGCUUGGCCAGCGAUGUCUGGCAAAUCCCAGAAACUCCCCCCUCAGUUCGGAUCGUAGUCUGCAACUCGACUACGUGAAGUCGGAAUCGCUAGUAAAACGCAGAUCAGCCCACGCUGCGUUGAAUACGUUCCCGGGCCUUGUACACACACCGCCCGUCACACCACGAAAGAAGGUUAUGCCCGAAGUCGGUGCCCUAACCCGUAAGGGAAGGAGCCGCCUAAGGUGGAACUUUUGAUUGGGGUA
rnacentral:rRNA from 1 species